CUAAAGCAGAAGUAAAUCCUGGUGGGCCACUCAGAUGUGUGGGAGUGGAAUCUGGUUAUAUGGAGCUAGAGGAAACAACUUGUCCCUGCUAAUGAUGAANGGUUAACAUGGAUAUCCAAGGCUAGAGAUGCCACAGAAAAAUUUUGCAAUUGUGAAAGAGCCAAUGUUAAUUAAACAUCAAGGGGAUAGUGUUCAAGAUGGUCCUCAAGAUGAAAGUUCACAGAUGCUGCAUUAUCUUCAACUUGGCACAGAAUUGAAUUCUAAAUUCGGAUUUGUGAGUUUCCAGUAAAAUCACUUUUCUGGCACCCAUGGCCGUGGGUGUCAAGGUCAAACCCGGAGGUAUAAAUAGCUGUGGAUGAGAGACGUUCAUUGCUAUCCCCAGUCCAGAUCCAGGGAGCAACCAUGAAGACCUUCAUCUUCCUUGCCCUGCUGGGAGCCACUGGUAAGUCUAUAAUAAUAAAUAAAUCAGUGGGUGCCCAUGAUGUAUUUGUUUUUCACUUUGUAUUCUGGAAGACAACAAUGAAUGUUGAAUAGAAUCUCUGUACUCAUGGAGCUUAAAAUACUGACAUGACAGUGUAUAUGAUAGUCCCUUCUUUUCUGUGACAGCUAUAUCGACCCCAGUUGAAGCCUGAAGCCACAGAUAGUACUGACCCAUAUAUACUAUGGUUUUCUCCCCCACGUAUACAUACCCAUGAUAAAGUUUAAGGAACGAAUUAGGCACAGUAAGGGAUUAACAACAAACCUACCAAAAACAUAGAACAUUUAUAACAAUAUACUUUAAUAAAAGUUAUGUGACUAUGCUCUUCUGUCUCUCUCUCUCUCAAAAUAUCUUAUUGCACUGUACGCACCUGUCUUGUGAUGCUGUGUGAUGAUAAAAUGCCUACGUGAUGAGAAGAAGUGGGGUCAAUGACAUUGGUGUUGUGAUGCAGUGUUAGGCUAUAAUGACCUUCGGAGGAUACAUGAGAAAAUGAAUAGUCUACUUCCUGACUCUAUUUAACCAAGGGUAACCAAAACCACGAUAAGGGGGGCACCAGAGUCCUACAAAUGUCUAUACAUAAGUAUAUCUCCCUUGUGGGGGGAAGAUGGUAGUGAGCAAGUGUAGUUAGUGAAGGAAGUAUAAAGAGGCAGAAAUUGCCCUGAGCUUCAAGGAAAAAUCUAUAGACAAAGAGAGAAAAGGAACGGAUAGGAAAUGUUGUUAUGGCCUUUAUGAGCCCUUGGAAUUAAUCAUUUGGAGUGAAAAUUGGGAUUAGUGACUAGUCUUGGGCUCAUUGAGGACUCUAAGAGGGUCAGAGCCCACGUCUUCUCUACACCGACAGCAUCUUCACAAAGAUCUUAACAGGUGAAGGUACUUCAUUUCUCAUGAAUAAAAGCUAUGGGCUGGUUUUACAACAUCUUUGCUAAUGAAAUCUCUCUGGUGUAAAAUAACAUAUCAUUUAAUCAGCAAAAGAAAGAAAAAUGUCUAUUUGUGUUUUUUAUACUACCAAAUUUUAUACAAAUCUUACUAUUAAACUUUCCUGAAUUGGACGGGUAUAAAUUCAAUACACUAGUCUCUACACCUGGAAAUUUCUUUCCCAAAAUAAUUUGAAAAUACUCUAAUAGGGUACAUAUAAUAUAAUCAUAGAUUUUGGCAGCCUUUGAAAUCUUAAUAAAUCAGUGGGCAGACUUCAGAAUGCUGAAUAAACUUAAAAAAUUGGAAAGAUAAUUGAGAUAAGGGGAGAGAUUGGAAAAGGAAACCAUAUAAUGUUCCAUGAAAUUAUGUCAUGAAAAUUUUAGGCAAGAAGAAAAGAAGAAAUUUGGGGAACAAGAGUACAAAACUCCCAAUUCCUUCCAGGCUAGAACAUUCUUAGGUGGCUUCUAAAGGUGGCCUUUGUGUUACCUCAUGAGGAUAUCUAUCCUAUACCAACUACUAUAUUUAAACGUAAGCAUGAUUACUCCAAAGCUUUAUGAAACACCUAUUUGCAUGACUGUUGAACAAAUUUUGUAUAAAAAUAUUCUUUAUACCCUUAGUACUGUUCAGGGCAUUUAUUACACAAAGCGUCUCUGAUCAGGGGGCUGUGUGUGUGUGUGUGUGUGUGUGUGUGUGUGUAUGCGGUGUAUACCUUAAGAAAGCAGUAUAUU